GCAUCUUCUGCAAGGCCGACGACGGCUUCAGCGCCACCGUCCGCAACGGCACUGUGGUCCUCGCGCCCACCAACCCCCGCGACGAGUACCAGCACUGGUUCAAGGACAUGAGGCACAGCAACCGCAUCAAGGAUGAGGAAGGCUACCCGGCCUUCGCCCUCGUCAACAAGGUGACAGGCGAGGCCAUCAAGCACUCCCAAGGCGAGGGCCACCCUGUAAGCAACCAUCCAAGCCACUCAGAUCUUUUUCGAUUCAUUCGUCACUUGCAUGUAAAUUGUGGUGCCAUUGCGGUAAGAUCUGAGAGCUUGAGACUAAAUGAUUAACAAGAACUGUUUGGUUCGCUGUUGCUGUUGGAUCCAACAGGUGAAGCUGGUGCCAUACAACGCCAACUACCAGGACGAGUCAGUGUUGUGGACUGAGAGCCGCGACGUGGGCGCCGGCUUCCGGUGCAUCCGCAUGGUGAACAACAUCUACCUCAACUUUGACGCUCUCCACGGCGACAAGGAGCACGGCGGCGUUCGCGACGGCACCUCCCUCGUGCUGUGGAAGUGGUGCGAGGGCGACAACCAGCGCUGGAAGAUCCUCCCCUGGUGUAAGUGCCCCCUCACUCGCUCCCAUUUGCUUGCUAGUGGAGAACUUAACUUCUCCAUCUUCGCCUAACACUCACAACAUCUCCAUAAACUGGUGGAGUAGUCGGUAGAAGCGGAUGGAGUUGGCUUAUCUGCCAUCUUUUGAAUUAUUUGCGUUCCCUUUUGGCAAAUAUAUUAAUGUGUUUUUAUCGUUGCUUGCGUUUGCAGAAACGUGUCAUGCUGCUGAAGCUGAGUUGAUCGCCACCGUGACCCGGAGUUGGUAGAGAUCGGCCUGUGAUCUGUUGCCGCGUCGGUAGAAUAAAAGUCGUGUGCGGUCGGCGGUGGUGAUGUGUCCGUGAGUGUGUGUGUUUAGUUUCUGUCCUGUCGUUGUGUCCUGCUAUGGCGAGCUAUCCGAUGUAAUAAGCAUUUGGCACUUGUGCUUGUUUUUCAAACCAUGGAUCCGUGAUGAGAACCUCUGUACUGUGGUGCAAUCCUUUCAUCUAUGCGAAUGGUCUUUAUUGUCUAUAUCAAUACUUUUUCCCCACACCGAUCCAAAUAUGUUUGGAUUUCAUACAAACCGGACGCAAAUUCAAG
rnacentral:lncRNA from 1 species